UACGGAGGGGGUUAGCGUUGUUCGGAAUGACUGGGCGUAAAGCGCGCGUAGGCGGAUCGGCAAGUCAGGGGUGAAAUCCCGGGGCUCAACCCCGGCACGGCCUUUGAGACUGCCGGUCUGGAGUUCGAGAGAGGUGGGUGGAAUUCCGAGUGUAGAGGUGAAAUUCGUAGAUAUUCGGAGGAACACCAGUGGCGAAGGCGGCUCACUGGACCGGUAUUGACGCUGAGGUGCGAAAGCGUGGGGAGCAAACAGG
rnacentral:rRNA from 1 species